rnacentral:rRNA from 1 species
AUUGAACGCUGGCGGUAGGCUUAACACAUGCAAGUCGAACGGCAGCGCGGUAUUCGCCCUCGCUUCGGGGGGCCGAGGGGCGGGUAGUUGAGCGGAACGUGCCCAUCUACUGUGUCUAGCGGGAUGAAGGAGGGAAACUUACGCCAAUACAGCAUAGGACGUACGGGGGGAACCAGAAGACCUUCGGACCUUGCGCGAGCCGAUGAGCGGAUGUCGGAUUAGCUAGUUGGUGGGGUAAAGGCGUACCAAGGCGACGAUCCGUAGCUGGUCUGAGAGGAUGAUCAGCCACACUGGAACUGAGACACGGUCCAGACUCCUACGGGAGGCAGCAGUGGGGAAUUUUGGACAAUGGGGGCAAGCCUGAUCCAGCCAUGCCGCGUGCGUGAAGAAGGCCUUCGGGUUGUAAAGCGCUUUUGUUCGGGAAGAAAAGCUGUAGGCUAAUACCCCGGUGGGAUGACGGUACCGGAAGAAUAAGCACCGGCUAACUACGUG